AUUGAACGCUGGCGGCAGGCCUAACACAUGCAAGUCGAGCGGAUGAAGGGAGCUUGCUCCUGGAUUCAGCGGCGGACGGGUGAGUAAUGCCUAGGAAUCUGCCUGGUAGUGGGGGAUAACGUCCGGAAACGGGCGCUAAUACCGCAUACGUCCUGAGGGAGAAAGUGGGGGAUCUUCGGACCUCACGCUAUCAGAUGAGCCUAGGUCGGAUUAGCUAGUUGGUGGGGUAAAGGCCUACCAAGGCGACGAUCCGUAACUGGUCUGAGAGGAUGAUCAGUCACACUGGAACUGAGACACGGUCCAGAAUCCUAAGGGAGGCAGCAGUGGGGAAUAUUGGACAAUGGGCGAAAGCCUGAUCCAGACAUGACGCGUGUGUGAAGAAGGUCUUCGGAUUGUAAAGCACUUUAAGUUGGGAGGAAGGGAAGUAAGUUAAUACCUUGCUGUUUUGACGUUACCAACAGAAUAAGCACCGGCUAACUUCGUG
rnacentral:rRNA from 1 species